rnacentral:rRNA from 1 species
CGCCUCUUGAACUUUAUAAGAGGUCCAGCCUGCCCAGUGACUCUGUUCAACGGCCGCGGUAUCCUAACCGUGCGAAGGUAGCGUAAUCACUUGUUCUUUAAAUGUGGACUAGUAUGAAUGGCACUACGAGGGUUAUACUGUCUCCUUUUUCUAAUCAGUGAAACUAAUUUUCCCGUGAAGAAGCGGGAAUAUAACUAUAAGACGAGAAGACCCUAUGGAGCUUUAAACAACCCAGCAAUUACUUCUAAAUUUUAAAUUUCAAAAUAUUCAUUCUUUAAGUAAUAUGUCUGCAAGUUUUUGGUUGGGGUGACCAUGGAGAAUAACAUAACCUCCAUAUUGAAUGAAUUCCCUUCUAAGCUGAAAAUCACCAAUUGAAGCAUCAACACACUGACAUCUAUUGACCCAAUAUAUUUGAUCAACGAACCAAGUUACCCUAGGGAUAACAGCGCAAUCCACUUCAAGAGCCCCUAUCGACAAGUGGGUUUACGACCUCGAUGUUGGAUCAGGGUAUCCCAGUGGCGCAGCUGCUACUAAAGGUUCGUUUGUUCAACGAUUAAAACCCUACGUGAUCUGAGU